UCAAAACAGCGGACUUCGGUCCUUGCUGCACCCUUGUCUUUUGCGCACCGUAUUGUUUCCUCGGCGGGCUUGCCUGCCGGUUGGACAUUAUCAAAACCUUUUUGCAGCUGCAAUCAGCGUCAGAAAAACAAUAAUUAUUA
rnacentral:misc_RNA from 1 species